GACGAACGCUGGCGGCAUGCCUAACACAUGCAAGUCGAACGAGAACUUCGGGUUUAGUGGCGCCCGGGUUCGUGACCGGUGGGAUCCUGCCCUUAUGUUCGGCCUCACUCUCCGACAGGGGUGCUAAUACCGGAUAAUGUCUUCGGACCAAAGAUUUAUCGCCUUUGGAGGGUCCCGCGUUGGAUUAGCUUGUUGGUAGGGUAAAAGGCUACCAAGGCGACGAUCCAUAGCUGGUCUGAGAGGAUGAUCCGCGACUCUGCGACGGAGAAGCGGCCAAGACGACGCCGGGAUGGGGCAGAGUGGAAUAUGGGAGAAUGGGCGAAGGCGUGACGCAGCAAGGCCGCGGGAGUGAUGAAGGUCGUAGAGUUGUAAAGCUCAUGUAGCCGGGAUGGUAAUGACGGUACCGGGAGAAGAAGCACCGGCUAACUCCGUG
rnacentral:rRNA from 1 species